UGGCGGCAGGGCUAACACAUGCAAGUCGAACGCCCUAGCAAUAGGGAGUGGCAGACGGGAGAGUAACACGUGGGAACCUUCCCUAUAGUACGGAAUAGCCCAGGGAAACUUGGAGUAAUACCGUAUAAGCCCGAGAGGGGAAAGAUUUAUCGCUAUAGGAUGGGCCCGCGUCGGAUUAGCUAGUUGGUGAGGUAAUGGCUCACCAAGGCGACGAUCCGUAGCUGGUUUGAGAGAACGACCAGCCACACUGGGACUGAGACACGGCCCAGACUCCUACGGGAGGCAGCAGUGGGGAAUAUUGGACAAUGGGCGAAAGCCUGAUCCAGCCAUGCCGCGUGAGUGAUGAAGGCCUUAGGGUUGUAAAGCUC
rnacentral:rRNA from 1 species